rnacentral:rRNA from 1 species
UACAGAGGGUGCUAGCGUUGUUCGGAAUCAUUGGGCGUAAAGGGCGUGUAGGCGGUUUGUCGCGUCGGGAGUGAAAACUCAGGGCUUAACCCUGAGCCUGCUUCCGAUACGGGCAGACUAGAGGUAUGCAGGGGAGAACGGAAUUCCUGGUGUAGCGGUGAAAUGCGCAGAUAUCAGGAGGAACACCGGUGGCGAAGGCGGUUCUCUGGGCAUUACCUGACGCUGAGGAGCGAAAGUGUGGGGAGCGAACAGG